GUAGUGAUUGUUCAAUUUCUUCAUUUCUUAAAGGGGUAAAGAAGUAAAUGUUUUGUAAUAUAAUGUAUAUUAAAUUUUCUAGGGUUCUAAAUGGUUGGUUUAAUUUCAGAUUUAAGGAAAGAGUAUGAUUUCAAGUUAAUAUUUUUGAUUUGUGAAAGAUUUUGGUAUCAAGGUAAGUUAUUCCAUUUUUUGUAAACCUUAGAAAUUUUAAAUAGAUUCUUGAGUAAAGAUAGUUUGGGAAAUUAUAGUGAUGACGAAAUGUUUACUUGAAAGUAGGAUUUUAUGGAAUAAGGUGUAAAAUUAAAUUGGUUAAAUUAUGAUUAUUAGUUUUACUAGUUUGGAAGAAGGAAUUAUUUUUAUGUUUGGAGUGAAGAUUAUUGUGAUGAAUUAACUAUUAAGAAAUGGACUAGAAAGUGGAAUUAGCUUGAAGUGAUUGGAGGAAAUUGGGGAAAAUUAUUCUAGUAUUGAGAAGUCAACUUUUAGUAUUCGAUUACUAAUAUUAAGAGAUACUUAUUAUGUGAGUCGUUAAAUUAGUUAUUUUAUAUCGUAUUUCAGGUGGUGAUGUGAAAGUUGGGCAAUGUUAGUAAAUUUAAUCAUAUUGCAAUCCAUAAAUCUGUGAGUGGAGAACCUACUUUUUUCAAAAAGAAGAUUUACUUUUUAUUUUAUAGAAGCAUAAUAAUUAUAUGAAAUAUCUUAUUUUUGAGAAAUUAGUAAAUGAGCACGAUUAUUUUGAAAUCAUCAGAAAAUAACAAAUGUAAUUAUUUUAAUCUUGUACACUGAAGAGUUACAACCGUGUAUUAGAGUCGUGUAUUUAACUCCGAUACACUGAGGGGCUAUGACCAUGUAUAAGGACGAUUAUGUUGUUUAUAUCUUGUACACUGAGGGGCUACGGUCUUGUUCUAGAGUCAUGUAUUCCUAUACAUUGAGGGGCUAUGGCCAUGUAUAAGAACGAUUAUGUUGUUUACAUCUUGUACACUGAGGGGCUACGAUCGUGUACUAGAGACAUGUAUUUAACUCCUAUAUAUCGAGG
rnacentral:lncRNA from 1 species